rnacentral:tRNA from 1 species
GCGGGGGUCGCCAAGACCGGACAAAGCCAAGUGGUUUGUCUGUAGGCGGUGGACUUAAGAUCCACUCUCGAACGAGGGGCUCAGACCUUGUGCUGUUGGUAAAUGGUCGCGUGCACUCCGAAAAGGAGUUCGUGGGUUCGAAUCCCACCCCCCGCA